UGCAUCUAUGAAGUGCUUCAAUGAAGAGAACGCAAAUAAAAGCGCGACAGAAAAUGAACAGCAAGACACAAGAACCACAACACGUUUAACGCAUAUUGCACCUUGAACAACCGUACGAGGUACACAUUUUUGAGUGCCUAUAUUUCGUACUUUAACUACGGGACCAUCCAGCCACCGGUGGGUAGUUUUGUGCGUAACGACGUGUUCCUGGCACAAUAGCCGGUAACACGUUUAAGAUAGUCAGACACGGUGUAUUUGUUGUGUAUGUGUUGUCUCCCCCCACACACACAUGCCUUCAUUGUGGUUGAUGAGUCCACUACGAGGAGGGGCAACUUUUGUUGUUCCGUGUACUCCAUUAAGGCACACACAACACAGAGUAUAAUAAAUAUAGUAGGCCUCAAAUAAUGAUACUCAAAAUA
rnacentral:rRNA from 1 species